rnacentral:rRNA from 1 species
CGUGGGCAACCUGUCCUCUCGCGGGGGAUAACACCGGGAAACCGGUGCUAAUACCGCAUGUCAUCGCCGAUUGAAUGGUUGGUGAGAAAAGCAGCAAUGCACGAGGGGGUGGGCCCGCGGCCUAUCAGCUAGUCGGUGGGGUAACGGCCUACCGAGGCUAUGACGGGUAGCUGGUCUGAGAGGAUGAUCAGCCAGACUGGGACUGAGACACGGCCCAG